rnacentral:rRNA from 2 species
AGAGUUUGAUCCUGGCUCAGGAUGAACGCUAGCGGGAGGCCUAACACAUGCAAGCCGAGCGGUAGAGUCUCUUCGGAGACUUGAGAGCGGCGCACGGGUGCGGAACACGUGUGCAACCUGCCUUUAUCUGGGGGAUAGCCUUUCGAAAGGAAGAUUAAUACCCCAUAAUAUACAUUACGGCAUCGUAAUUUAUUGAAAGCUCCGGCGGAUAAAGAUGGGCACGCGCAAGAUUAGAUAGUUGGUAGGGUAACGGCCUACCAAGUCAAUGAUCUUUAGGGGGCCUGAGAGGGUGAUCCCCCACACUGGUACUGAGACACGGACCAGACUCCUACGGGAGGCAGCAGUGAGGAAUAUUGGACAAUGGGUGCAAGCCUGAUCCAGCCAUCCCGCGUGAAGGACUAAGGCCCUAUGGGUUGUAAACUUCUUUUAUACUGGGAUAAACCUACUUACGUGUAAGUAGCUGAAGGUACAGUAUGAAUAAGCACCGGCUAACUCCGUGCCAGCAGCCGCGGUAAUACGGAGGGUGCAAGCGUUAUCCGGAUUUAUUGGGUUUAAAGGGUCCGUAGGCGGAUCUGUAAGUCAGUGGUGAAAUCUCAUAGCUUAACUAUGAAACUGCCAUUGAUACUGCAGGUCUUGAGUGAGAUUGAGGUAGCUGGAAUAAGUAGUGUAGCGGUGAAAUGCAUAGAUAUUACUUAGAACACCAAUUGCGAAGGCAGGUUACCAAGUCUUAACUGACGCUGAUGGACGAAAGCGUGGGGAACGAACAGGAUUAGAUACCCUGGUAGUCCACGCCGUAAACGAUGCUAACUCGUUUUUGGGGUCUUGCGCUUCAGAGACUAAGCGAAAGUGAUAAGUUAGCCACCUGGGGAGUACGUUCGCAAGAAUGAAACUCAAAGGAAUUGACGGGGGCCCGCACAAGCGGUGGAUUAUGUGGUUUAAUUCGAUGAUACGCGAGGAACCUUACCAAGACUCAAAUGGGAAAUGACAGAUUUAGAAAUAGAUCCUUCUUCGGACAUUUUUCAAGGUGCUGCAUGGUUGUCGUCAGCUCGUGCCGUGAGGUGUUAGGUUAAGUCCUGCAACGAGCGCAACCCCUGUCACUAGUUGCUACCAUUAAGUUGAGGACUCUAGUGAGACUGCCUACGCAAGUAGAGAGGAAGGUGGGGAUGACGUCAAAUCAUCACGGCCCUUACGUCUUGGGCCACACACGUAAUACAAUGGCCGGUACAGAGGGCAGCUACACUGCGAAGUGAUGCGAAUCUCGAAAGCCGGUCUCAGUUCGGAUUGGAGUCUGCAACUCGACUCUAUGAAGCUGGAAUCGCUAGUAAUCGCGCAUCAGCCAUGGCGCGGUGAAUACGUUCCCGGGCCUUGUACACACCGCCCGUCAAGCCAUGGAAGUCUGGGGUACCUGAAGUCGGUGACCGUAAAAGGAGCUGCCUAGGGUAAAACAGGUAACUAGGGCUAAGUCGUAACAAGGUAACC